CAAACAGGUAGUGCAGGUAAGGUCAUCUGUGGGUGGAGAGAACUUGAUUCACAUGCAAACAAGUGAUGACAUGCAGUAUAUGACAGGGUGAGAACACUGAUUAUAAGGAUAUGUGUCGUGGCAGCAAUGAUACAUAGUAAAAGAAACGUCUAGUACACAUGGUUCAGCCAGCAGAACACAUCAGGACAUUAGGAGUUUCUCUACUUUCGUGGAACAUGACAGCAAUGGCUUUUACAAUCUGUUUUUUGAGUUUGGAGUUCAUUGGACUGGCUUUGAAGGAUGUUGAAUUUCCUCAUAAUCUUUUUGAGAACAAGAUCAAUUCUUGUUUUUCAAUUUUUUCAGGCUUAAAGGAAUCAGAAUUUUCUUUUUUGGAACAUUUCAACCAGUUUCCUCCAACAAAUUUUGUCAAAAUGUUUUUAUCGUAUUACCCAAGACAUCGGAGAGAGAAAAUAACACUCCAACACUGCAGGCCCAAUCAGUGAAGGAAAAGAUUUCUUUCGCAAGGACCGUAUUUGGCCCCCGGGACAUGAGUUUGACACAUGUGGUCUACGGGACUCCACGCCACACAAUGCAAUGUGCAAAACCUUUCCGACAAUGUCAAUAAAAGGAGGUUUACAGUCGAGCUGCA
rnacentral:lncRNA from 1 species